AGUGGAAGCGUCUGGAAAGGCGCGCGAUACAGGGUGACAGCCCCGUACACAAAAGCGCAUAUGCUGUGAGCUCGAUGAGUAGGGCGGGACACGUGGUAUCCUGUCUGAAUAUGGGGGGACCAUCCUCCAAGGCUAAAUACUCCUGACUGACCGAUAGUGAACCAGUACCGUGAGGGAAAGGCGAAAAGAACCCCGGCGAGGGGAGUGAAAAAGAACCUGAAACCGUGUACGUACAAGCAGUGGGAGCCCCACCACUAAGCCAGUGGUGAACUCCACAUACGCAUCCUUUGCUGAGGAGACGGUUAACGGAGCGAAAGCGACGUUCAACCUCAAAAGAAGCAGAGGGGGCUUAGUGGUGGGGUGACUGCGUACCUUUUGUAUAAUGGGUCAGCGACUUAUAUUCUGUAGCAAGGUUAACUGUAUAGGGGAGCCGGA
rnacentral:rRNA from 1 species